GAUGAACGCUGGCGGCGUGCCUAAUACAUGCAAGUCGAGCGAACGGACGAGAAGCUUGCUUCUCUGAUGUUAGCGGCGGACGGGUGAGUAACACGUGGAUAACCUACCUAUAAGACUGGGAUAACUUCGGGAAACCGGAGCUAAUACCGGAUAAUAUUUUGAACCGCAUGGUUCAAAAGUGAAGAAGGGCUUGCCGGCACCUAUUAGUGGAUCCGGCCUUGAGUAAGUUGGUGGGAAGGGAACCGGCUAACCAAGGAACGAUGCCUAAGCCGACAUGGGGGGUGGACCGGCCACACGGGAACGGAGACACGGCCCAGCCUCCGACGGGAGGCAGAAGUGGGGAAGAUGGCAAAAGGGGCGAAAGCCGGCGGAAGCACCGCCGCGUGGAGAAAGAAGGUCUUCGGAUCGUAAACUUCUGUCAGCGGGGAAAAACAGAGUAGAAUUAAUAGCGGCACUCAUUGACGGUACCUAAACAAAAAGCCCGGGCUAACUCCGGC
rnacentral:rRNA from 1 species